CCUAGGGGUGGCUGCAGUGGGGAAUAUUGGACAAUGGGCGAAAGCCUGAUCCAGCCAUGCCGCGUGUGUGAAGAAGGCCUUCGGGUUGUAAAGCACUUUCAGUGGGGAAGAAAGCCUUGGGGCUAAUACCCUCGAGGAAGGACAUCACCCACAGAAGAAGCACCGGCUAACUCCGUGCCAGCAGCCGCGGUAAUACGGAGGGUGCGAGCGUUAAUCGGAAUUACUGGGCGUAAAGCGCGCGUAGGCGGUCUGAUAAGCCGGUUGUGAAAGCCCCGGGCUCAACCUGGGAACGGCAUCCGGAACUGUCAGGCUAGAGUGCAGGAGAGGAAGGUAGAAUUCCCGGUGUAGCGGUGAAAUGCGUAGAGAUCGGGAGGAAUACCAGUGGCGAAGGCGGCCUUCUGGACUGACACUGACGCUGAGGUGCGAAAGCGUGGGUAGCAAACAGGAUUAGAUACCCUGGUAGUC
rnacentral:rRNA from 1 species